UACGUAGGUGGCGAGCGUUAUCCGGAUUUACUGGGUGUAAAGGGCGCGUAGGCGGGGAUGCAAGUCAGAUGUGAAAUCCACGGGCUCAACCCAUGAACUGCAUUUGAAACUGUAUUUCUCGAGUGCUGGAGAGGUAGACGGAACUCCUUGUGUAGCGGUGAAAUGCGUAGAUAUAAGGAAGAGCACCAGUGGCGAAGGCGGUCUACUGGACAGUAACUGACGCUGAGGCGCGAAAGCGUGGGGAGCAAAC
rnacentral:rRNA from 1 species